GUCCAGAAGACAAUGAUGUGUGAUUUCCAAGCACAUAUCCGAUUUCUCCAUGUGGAAAUCCAACCUCGACUGAGUUUUCUGGCC
rfam:Ornithorhynchus anatinus chromosome 3, whole genome shotgun sequence.